CAGGGUGAGGGGAGGAAUCUCUGAGAUGUUGCUGAGACAGAAGAGUUCCACAGAUCCCUCCAGCAUGCAGGCUGCAGCUGCUGAAGGUUGUUGAGCCUUUUCAUUAGGAAGAAAUGUAAGGAUGGUGUGUGAAAACCACACGGAUGUAAACUUAAAGAACAGUACAGAAGCAUGUUAAGAACAAAACCUUGUAAGCUACCUUCUCCAAGAUAUAAUAAUACACUGAAAAGCUGAAAUUUCCUUAUGAAAUAAAAUUGUACUUGGAAAUGUCAGGCCUGCACAGACCAAUGAUCCAGGAGUCGCUGAAGGCAGUGUAUCGGAAGAAGCCUCUCCAUGUGCUGAAUGCUGCGGCCAAGAAGAGAGUCUCUUGCCAGAACCAGCCAUAACCUCUUUCCCCAUAUGCCAAGAGCUAUACCCAGUAUACAAACCCUGUCACAAGCAGUGUCUAAGGGCAGUUUGGAUGCAUCCAGCUUGACUUGCAGGGCAGCAGUGGUGGGCAUGAGGAAUGCGGGCGUGAGCCGUGCCAUGUCAUUUGGCGCUUUCACCGUGUUUAGUAAUAAAGACACAGGCUAUGAAAUUC